UGAAAGGAAUAGGCUUUCAGAAUAUCAGUGCCAGAAAGGACCUAUUUGUCAUUUACUUUAAGCCCCUCUUUUCCAAGAAAAGGAACUGUUACCUGGGGAAGAAAAGCAUACCCAAGGUCUAUUCUUUACCCUCAUCUUUGUGGGAAGUAGUAACUACUUUGUACUGAAAUUUCUUAAAUAUAAUUAUAGAGCUUCAAAGUAAAUGAACAUCUGUAUUUCCUAAGAUAAGGAGACUGAGACAUUGAAGGGCUAAGCAAAUUGCCCAAGGUGACAAAAAAGAAAAGAAAAUCUGCUGGAACAAGAAGGCCUGCCAGUCCAUUGCCACAGAAUAGCCUGUUUGUGCAGAAUGCCUAGAUCCUUUCAAGGCUUGGCUUAAGUGCUACUUCCUAUAAAAGGACCUUCCUGAAUAUUCCAGUUUUAACCAUUUUAAGGACAUAAAAGUCUGCACAGAGAAAUUGAUUCCACUUUGAGCUACUUUUGUAGAACACUUUAUCUUCCGCUGCGGCCUCUGGAUUUCAGCAAUUUCUAAGACCCAAUAUGGGUGAAGGCAAAUGGAACACAGAAUCUGAAGAUCCAUGUUUAAAUACCUGUUCUCCCCACUAUGUGUUUUGGGAUUUGCAACCAUACCAAAGAGACCAAACUUUGAAGUAAUAGCCAAUAUCAAACCCUCAAGAACUUCGGGCUUCUUUUGUCAUUUAUUUUCACUUCACACAGGAUCAUGGCUUUAAGAGGGAAAUGGAACCUCACAGGUCACAGAAUCCAAACCAUUUACUUUACAGCUGACGAUCAGAGAGCACUGACUACAACUAUUUACUGAAGACUUCCUGGUUAUUCUGCGGAAUUCUCUAAUAUCCUUUGAAAUGGGAGAUAUCCUUUGGUAUCCCACAGCAAGAUCUAGGAAUCACUGUUUUGGAAAACUCUGCAGAGAUCAUGCUGGACACUGAUGUCCUUCUGCUUGAUCAAAGAUAUUCUCUUAAAAAAUCAAAGUCACUCAGCUUAGUGAAAUGUUAAUGGAAGUUAGAUAAAGGAAGAAGGUGGAUUAAGAAGAAAAACACUUUGACUUUUGAUCCUUAAACUGAAUUCUCUUUUUUGGCAUUAAGUAUUUGUGAAGAGAAUAAUAUACUCCCUUUUUAAAUUGUUGACAAAUAUUUAUGGAUUGCCUGAUAAGUGCCUUUUUGUAUAAACAUGCAUUGAUAUACAUGCUAUG